rnacentral:lncRNA from 1 species
CCACAUAUAAUUCUAUCUCGCCACAUAUAAUUCUAGUAUCUUUCUUUUUUUCUUUUUUUUCUAGUUUUUAUACUAUGAGGAAGUAGCAAGUCCCGCUUUUCACCAAUUUAUAAAAUUUGGAAAAAAAAGAAGAGAAGAAGAUAUUUGGAACUCAUGUGGUCGAGACUUACGUAAGUCUCGCCAAAUGUGAUUCAAGCAUCUUUCUUCUCUUCUUUUUUUUAGUAUUUUUAAUAUUUUCGUCGUAAUAUCGUCGUUAGUUUACGACUCUUUUACGACGAUUCUGGCUUACGUGGAAUUAGCGUGCCCCGCUUUUUUAAUUUCGUCGUAAAAUCCUCGUG